rnacentral:rRNA from 1 species
GACGAACGCUGGCGGCGUGCCUAAUACAUGCAAGUAGAACGCUGAAGAGAGGAGCUUGCUCUUCUUGGAUGAGUUGCGAACGGGUGAGUAACGCGUAGGUAACCUGCCUUGUAGCGGGGGAUAACUAUUGGAAACGAUAGCUAAUACCGCAUAACAAUGGAUGACACAUGUCAUUUAUUUGAAAGGGGCAAUUGCUCCACUACAAGAUGGACCUGCGUUGUAUUAGCUAGUAGGUGAGGUAAUGGCUCACCUAGGCGACGAUACAUAGCCGACCUGAGAGGGUGAUCGGCCACACUGGGACUGAGACACGGCCCAGACUCCUACGGGAGGCAGCAGUAGGGAAUCUUCGGCAAUGGGGGCAACCCUGACCGAGCAACGCCGCGUGAGUGAAGAAGGUUUUCGGAUCGUAAAGCUCUGUUGUAAGUCAAGAACGGGUGUGAGAGUGGAAAGUUCACACUAUGACGGUAGCUUACCAGAAAGGGACGGCUAACUACGUGCCAGCAGCCGCGGUAAUACGUAGGUCCCGAGCGUUGUCCGGAUUUAUUGGGCGUAAAGCGAGCGCAGGCGGUUUGAUAAGUCUGAAGUUAAAGGCUGUGGCUCAACCAUAGUUCGCUUUGGAAACUGUCAAACUUGAGUGCAGAAGGGGAGAGUGGAAUUCCAUGUGUAGCGGUGAAAUGCGUAGAUAUAUGGAGGAACACCGGUGGCGAAAGCGGCUCUCUGGCCUGUAACUGACGCUGAGGCUCGAAAGCGUGGGGAGCGAACAGGAUUAGAUACCCUGGUAGUCCACGCCGUAAACGAUGAGUGCUAGGUGUUGGAUCCUUUCCGGGAUUCAGUGCCGCAGCUAACGCAUUAAGCACUCCGCCUGGGGAGUACGACCGCAAGGUUGAAACUCAAAGGAAUUGACGGGGGCCCGCACAAGCGGUGGAGCAUGUGGUUUAAUUCGAAGCAACGCGAAGAACCUUACCAGGUCUUGACAUCCCGAUGCUAUUUCUAGAGAUAGAAAGUUACUUCGGUACAUCGGUGACAGGUGGUGCAUGGUUGUCGUCAGCUCGUGUCGUGAGAUGUUGGGUUAAGUCCCGCAACGAGCGCAACCCCUAUUGUUAGUUGCCAUCAUUCAGUUGGGCACUCUAGCGAGACUGCCGGUAAUAAACCGGAGGAAGGUGGGGAUGACGUCAAAUCAUCAUGCCCCUUAUGACCUGGGCUACACACGUGCUACAAUGGUUGGUACAACGAGUUGCGAGUCGGUGACGGCGAGCUAAUCUCUUAAAGCCAAUCUCAGUUCGGAUUGUAGGCUGCAACUCGCCUACAUGAAGUCGGAAUCGCUAGUAAUCGCGGAUCAGCACGCCGCGGUGAAUACGUUCCCGGGCCUUGUACACGCCGCCCGUCACACCACGAGAGUUUGUAACACCCGAAGUCGGUGAGGUAACCUUUUGGAGCCAGCCGCCUAAGGUGGGACAGAUGA